AUGGCCUGGAUCCCUCUACUUCUCCCCCUCCUCACUCUCUGCACAGGCUCUGAGGCCUCCUAUGAGCUGACACAGCCACCCUCGGUGUCAGUGUCCCCAGGACAGACGGCCAGGAUCACCUGCUCUGGAGAUGCAUUGCCAAAGCAAUAUGCUUAUUGGUACCAGCAGAAGCCAGGCCAGGCCCCUGUGCUGGUGAUAUAUAAAGACAGUGAGAGGCCCUCAGGGAUCCCUGAGCGAUUCUCUGGCUCCAGCUCAGGGACAACAGUCACGUUGACCAUCAGUGGAGUCCAGGCAGAAGACGAGGCUGACUAUUACUGUCAAUCAGCAGACAGCAGUGGUACUUAUCC